rnacentral:rRNA from 1 species
UACGUAUGUCGCAAGCGUUAUCCGGAUUUAUUGGGCGUAAAGCGCGUCUAGGUGGUUUGGUAAGUCUGAUGUGAAAAUGCGGGGCUCAACUCCGUAUUGCGAUGGAAACUGUCAAACUAGAGUACUGGAGAGGAGGGCGGAAGUUCAAGUGUAGAGGUGAAAUUCGUAGAUAUGUGUAGGAAUGCCGAUGGAGAAGGCAGCCGGCUGGACAGAUACUGACGCUGAGGCGCGAAAGCGUGGGGAGCAAACAGG